rnacentral:misc_RNA from 1 species
AGUUGAGUUGAGUUGAGUAUUGUUGACUGAUAGUUGAAAAGUAGAAACAAGUGAGUGCACGAUAUAGCCCGUAUAAUGCAUUUGGUUGUAAGAAUUACUUGAGAUAUUAUCGGAUCUCUUUUUUGACUUAAACUAUUUUUGUUUCUUGUGGAUAUCCUUUCCUGGAAAAUAAGUGUUACGAAAUAUUAGAGCUUUUUCUUGCCAGCAAUACUCAGGAUAUGUUUUAGAUCUUUUUCUUGCAAGUAAUGGACAUGUGAUGAUUUCAAUCUUUGCUGCAGUUAAUAGUGGUAUGAAUCUCAUGCGACUCCCAGAAAGGGGGGAAAAUGGGAAGAUAAUUUUUUUUCUUAAAAUAAUUCUGCAACAUAUCAUUUGCACUGUGUAAGUGAUGUUUUCAUCAUGAUGGAUAAUCAGUUCGCACAGAAUGAGGAAUGGAGU